UACGUAGGGGGCUAGCGUUGUCCGGAAUCAUUGGGCGUAAAGAGCGUGUAGGCGGCCCGGUAAGUCCGCUGUAAAAGUCAAAGGCUCAACCUUUGAAUGUCAGUGGAUACUGCCGGGCUAGAGUCCGGAAGAGGCGAGUGGAACUCCUGGUGUAGCGGUGAAAUGCGCAGAUAUCGGGAGGAACACCAAUUGCGAAGGCAGCUCGCUGGGACGUUACUGACGCUGAGACGCGAAAGCGUGGGGAGCGAACAGG
rnacentral:rRNA from 1 species